rnacentral:rRNA from 1 species
AUUGAACGCUGGCGGCAGGCCUAACACAUGCAAGUCGAGCGGAUGAGUGGAGCUUGCUCCAUGAUUCAGCGGCGGACGGGUGAGUAAUGCCUAGGAAUCUGCCUGGUAGUGGGGGACAACGUUUCGAAAGGAACGCUAAUACCGCAUACGUCCUACGGGAGAAAGCAGGGGACCUUCGGGCCUUGCGCUAUCAGAUGAGCCUAGGUCGGAUUAGCUAGUAGGUGGGGUAAUGGCCCACCUAGGCGACGAUCCGUAACUGGUCUGAGAGGAUGAUCAGUCACACUGGAACUGAGACACGGUCCAGACUCCUACGGGAGGCAGCAGUGGGGAAUAUUGGACAAUGGGCGAAAGCCUGAUCCAGCCAUGCCGCGUGUGUGAAGAAGGUCUUCGGAUUGUAAAGCACUUUAAGUUGGGAGGAAGGGCAGUAAGUUAAUACCUUGCUGUUUUGACGUUACCAACAGAAUAAGCACCGGCUAACUUCGUGCCAGCCGCCGCUGUAAUAC